GCUUAAUUGACUACCGGGCACUGCGAAUCCCACGCUUUGCCGCCGGCAGCCGGCGCCAUCACUCCAUCGAAGCAGCGGCCUCGGCCAGAGGGGCGGACUCGGUCGGAGGCACAGGCGC
rnacentral:sRNA from 1 species